rnacentral:miRNA from 1 species
UGUGGGUGGGAAGGACUGGAUU